rnacentral:rRNA from 1 species
AUGAACGCUGGCGGCGUGCCUAAUACAUGCAAGUCGAGCGAACGGACGAGAAGCUUGCUUCUCUGAUGUUAGCGGCGGACGGGUGAGUAACACGUGGAUAACCUACCUAUAAGACUGGGAUAACUUCGGGAAACCGGAGCUAAUACCGGAUAAUAUUUUGAACCGCAUGGUUCAAAAGUGAAAGACGGUCUUGCUGUCACUUAUAGAUGGAUCCGCGCUGCAUUAGCUAGUUGGUAAGGUAACGGCUUACCAAGGCAACGAUGCAUAGCCGACCUGAGAGGGUGAUCGGCCACACUGGAACUGAGACACGGUCCAGACUCCUACGGGAGGCAGCAGUAGGGAAUCUUCCGCAAAGGGCGAAAGCCUGACGGAGCAACGCCGCGUGAGUGAUGAAGGUCUUCAGAUCGUAAAACUCUGUUAUUAGGGAAGAACAUAUGUGUAAGUAACUGUGCACAUCUUGACGGUACCUAAUCAGAAAGCCACGGCUAACUACGUG